CUUUUCUUUUUUUUUUUUUUUUUUUUUGGCUUUUAGGGCUGCACCUGCAGCUUGUGGAAGUUCCCAGGCUAGGAGUCAAAUUGGAGCUGUAGCUGCCGGCCUACACCACACAGCCACAGCAAUGCCGGAUCCAAGCCACAUCUGCAACCUACACCGCGGCUCAUGGCAGUGCUGGAUCCUUAACCAACUGAGCAAAGCCAGGGAUUGAACCUGCAUCCUCAUGGAUACUAGUUGGGUUUGUUACUGCUGAGCCACGAUGGGAACCCCCUCUUGUGUAUUUUCUUUGUCAAACUUUGUUUUUAACAUUUGACUGCUUUAUAAAAAAAUUGGGAAGAUUUGUUUUUCUGAGUUUUGGAACAGAUUAAAUUGCAUAAGUAUUCUUUCAUUCAGUUAUCAAAUACAUAUGUGUGCCAGUCAUUGGACUGAUGCUGGGUAAUCAGAGGUAAACAAAACAGACGUGCUUCCUGUCCUCAUAGGGCUUGGUUUUUUAGGAAGUGGAUAUUACUGAGGUAAUUAUAAAUAUGUUAUUAUAAACCAAGGUCAAUACUGCAAGAGAAAAGAACAGAGUGCUUUGAGAGACUAUCAUUGAAGAUCUACUUUGACUGUACUUUUUAUUAUUUAUUUGGGUAAAUAAUCAAAUAUUGAUUUGGAUGUGUAAUUAGGUCUUUGGCAAGUACAUACGUAAAUAAAAUGAAGUCUUCCUGAUUACAGAAGCAAAAAUGAAAAAUAAUGGUAAUAGUUGCCACCAUGUUAGAUGGUACGUUCUGCAUUUUUGAUCGAAGAAAUCAAGGCUUAAGUUAGGUAGACACUUGCAGUUGCGUUUGUGACAUGCCCUUUCUACACCUUCUGGAAAUGCCAUCAAGAUGUUAGUGAAAGAGCAGAGAUACAAAUCCACAAAGAUCCAGAACGCGAGAGAGGCGAAACCCGCAUUUGGGAAACUAGGAGAAGGUGGUCAGGAGCUAACGGCUUCUCCAGAUCAGAGAGUGCGGAAGGCCGUGCGCCCCCAAGAGAAGCGAGCCGGCCCCACAGCACCUGGAAGAGGCUCAGGAUUUGGCGGUGCCGAGUACUUCUCAAGGCAGGACCGCAGAUGGAGUAGAACAGCGGGUCAGCUGAUGGCUUGUAUCACUUUGAUAACCUGUAUCCCUCUCACUCCGUGCACCUGUACCCUGGCAGAAGGCCCAAGGUCUACACUUCGGAGACGUGAGCUAGGCGGGCUCUUGCCAGCUGCGCUAGGGGUGAAGCGCUGAAUGCCAGCCAGUACGGGCUCAGCGAACGCCGGCACACUCCACAGUGAAAGCAGAGCUGUCCUCCUCUGCGUGGCUCCCCAAACCAGUAGUCAAGCUUACGAGGCUCCCCCAAACAAGAUAUGAAAGGACUCUCUCCUGGGGAAACUUCCAACCCGUGACAAACUAUUUAGCAGAUAAGGACUUCUCAAGGGGAAUUAUUCGGAAAGCAGGAACAGGCUAGAUAAUAAAGCUGAAGAACUCUCCUAAAAAAUAGAAUAGCCAUACAAAAAAAAGAAUAGCCACAAUAAUUAGAAAAUAAGAGUGAGAGGGUAAGAAACAAAGGACCAGUCAAGAAGGUUCUUCAUCUAAUCCUGUGGUAGGACGUUAUCUGUGUCCCAGAACUGAAGGAGGAGAGUAUCUGGGUCGAAAGUCUAGUUGGAGCCCUGAACAUGAAAAGGGGAGCACAGAACAACCGGCAGCCGGAGUGUGCAGUUCCAACAGGAACAAGACUAGAUUCGUUCUUAAUCUUUCUACUUUUAAAAGGAAGAGCUGGGAGUUCCCGUCGUGGCUCAGUGGAAACAAAUCUGACUGGUAUCCAUGAGGACUCAGGUUCGAUCCCUGGCCUCAGUCAGUAGGUUAAGGAUGCAGUAUUGCUGUGAGCUGUGGUGGAAGUCACAGACAUGGCUUGGAUCCUGCAUUGCUAUGACUGUGGUGUAGACUGGCAGCUACAGUUUUGAUUUGACCUCUAUUCUGGGAACUUCUAGAAGCCACAGGUGCGGCCCUAAAAACCAAAUAAAGAAGAAUUGGGGGGAGAGUGAAGCUUUCAAACUACAUUUUGGAAAAUUUUAGGAGAAAAGACCCCUUAUCUCCUGUAGGUGCUAUUGGGAAGCCGUGAUGGGAAGUUCCAGCAGUUAUGAGAGAAAGGCAGAGCUGUGUGGAAGAGGCGCAGCUCAGAAAUCUCCAGCAGCUGGUCUGUCCCCGAAACUGAGAGCCCCGCCGUAGGUGAGCUUGCAGUACAGGGCUGAGAUGGAACUGCUUUGCAGUACCCAUUAAGAAAAGCAGAACGGGGUUGGAAGGUGCCUGGGCAGGCCAGAGAUCUAGCAAGUGCUCAUAAAAUACUCCUAGAAGUGAGUGUGUGGCCUUUGGAAAGGAAGGAUUGUGUCUCCUUGGUGGCAGGAUUCUACAGGAGGAAACCAGAGCUGAAAGUAAAGACCCUCCUGAACCUGAUUACACUUGCAGGUUAGAAGAGGAGUGGCAGGAAGUCCCUGUUGUGGCUCAGCGGUUAUGAGCCCAACUAGUAUCCCCAAGGAUGCAGGUUCGGUCCCCGGCCUCGCUCAGUGGGUUAAGGAUCUGGCGUUUCUGUGAGCUGUGGUGUAGCCAUUUUGAGUUUAUUGUGGUGCGUGGUGUGAGGGUGUGUUCUAGUUUCAUUGAUUUGCUUGCAGCUGUCCAAGUUUCCCAGCAAUACUUGCUGAAAAGACUUUUUCCCAUUUUAUGUUCUUCCCUUGUCAAAGAUUAAUUGACCAUAGGUGUCUGGGUUUAUUUCUGGGGUUCUCUAUUCUGUUCCAUUGGUCUGUCUGUUUGGUACCAGUACCACACUGUCUUGAUGACUGUGGCUUUGUCAUAUUGUCUGAGGUCUGGGAGAGUGAUGCCUCCUGCUUGGUUUUUGUUCCUCAGGAUUGCUUUGGCAAUUCUGGGUCUUUUGUGAUUCCAUAUAAAUUUUUGGAUUGUUUGUUCUAGCUCUGUGAAAAAUGUCAUGGGUCAUUUGAUAGAGAUUGCAUUGAAUCUGUAGAUUGCUUUGGGUAGUAUGGUCAUUUUUACAAUAUUAAUUUUUCCAACCCAGGAGCAUGGAAUAUCUUUCCAUUUCUUUACAUCCUCUUUAAUUUCCUUGAUUAAUGUUUUAUAGUUCUCAGCAUGUGAAGUCUUUCACCUCCUUGGUCAGGUGUAUUCCCAGGUAUUUGGUUUUUUGGGGGACCAUCUUAUUUUUAAAAGCCAUCCUUGGAUGCAGGAGCAGAGAAGGGAACCCUUAAGCCUGAAAACUGCUCUGUGGUAUCCCUACACUGGGCUUAAACACAUCUUUAGCCCCUAAGGCUCAAUAAGAUGAAGGCAGGUAAGCUUCUGGUGUGGCAUGGCAAGAUCAGUGGUGGAACAGUUUCAGGGUGCUGGGGCACAGGUUCGAUGCCUAGCCUGGCACAAGCGUUGCCACAGCUGUGGCAUAGGUCGAAACUGCAACUGAGAUCUGACCCCUAGCCUGGGAAAGCCAUAUGCCGCUGGGCUG
rnacentral:lncRNA from 1 species